GUCUGUCAAGUCGGAUGUGAAAUCCCCGGGCUCAACCUGGGAACUGCAUUCGAAACUGGCAGGCUUGAGUCUUGUAGAGGGGGGUAGAAUUCCAGGUGUAGCGGUGAAAUGCGUAGAGAUCUGGAGGAAUACCGGUGGCGAAGGCGGCCCCCUGGACAAAGACUGACGCUCAGGUGCGAAAGCGUGGGGAGCAAACAGGAUUAGAUACCCUGGUAGUCCACGCCGUAAACGAUGUCUACUUGGAGGUUGUGCCCUUGAGGCGUGGCUUCCGGAGCUAACGCGUUAA
rnacentral:rRNA from 1 species